rnacentral:ncRNA from 2 species
GCAAAGUAUUUCGAACCCAUUUAGGGUACCAACCGAGUGUAGACACCACGGUGGUAAAACAAUACGGGCCCGUCCGGUCAAAAUAAACGUAAGUU